UGAGGAAUAUUGGUCAAUGGGCGAGAGCCUGAACCAGCCAAGUAGCGUGCAGGAUGACGGCCCUAUGGGUUGUAAACUGCUUUUAUAUGGGGAUAAAGUUAGUUACGUGUAACUAUUUGCAGGUACCAUAUGAAUAAGGACCGGCUAAUUCCGUG
rnacentral:rRNA from 1 species